CGCCCUCCCGCACCUGCCCCUGCCGCCCCGCCUGCGCCGCUACCUGCAGCUCGAGUUCGAGGAUGUGCUCUACUAGGGGUGCGCAGUCUCCGGAGCCCGGAAGCCACCGCCCCGAGGAGGGCAGGGGUGGGUGGUGUCCGGGGCGGGGGACACCUCACGGCAGCCAGAGGGGGGCAGCGGGGACAGUGGCACGUGACACCCUCUCCGGAGCUCCCCGAGCCCCCCGUCUGGUGCCCGCGAACCCCAGAUGUGAAUUAAAGGUCCGUGGGCCGGGCGGCUGGG